rnacentral:tRNA from 1 species
UUCCUGGCGGUCCAGUGGUUAGAACUCUGUGCUUUCACUGCCAAGGGCCCAGGUUCAAUCCCUGGCCAGGGAA